rnacentral:tRNA from 1 species
UCCCAGGUGACUCAGUGGUAAAGAAUCUGCCUUGCAAGCAGUUGACCCAAGUUCAGUCCCUGGGUUGGGAA